rnacentral:misc_RNA from 1 species
UACGUAGGUGGCGAGCGUUAUCCGGAAUUACUGGGCGUAAAGCGCAUGCAGGCGGCCGUUUAAGUCUGACGUGAAAGCUCCCGGCUUAACUGGGAGAGGUCGUUGGAAACUGAAUGGCUUGAGGCAAUGAGAGGGGUGUAGAAUUCCUGGUGUAGUGGUGGAAUGCGUAGAUAUCAGGAGGAAUACCAGUGGCGAAAGCGACACCCUGGCAUUGAACUGACGCUCAUGUGCGAAAGCGUGGGGAGCGAACAGG